rnacentral:lncRNA from 1 species
CAUCGCGGGCCUUGUGGAUGUGAAACAUAUAGUGCACAGGGAAAUCCAAGGGUUCGAUAAUGAGUCUGAAAGUGUUAUGCAUUGAUGCCCACUGGAUCAUCAUUUCUAUUUCUCUUUCUUCCACCCAAACUUACUAAGAUGUUCUUAAUGUCUUUUAUAGUGUCUUUCUAUGCCGAUAACUCAUUAUUUUUCCUCACUUGAUUCCCUCUUCU